CCCAGCACCGAAGCCUGUGGCCAUUUGGUUACUAGGCAAUGUGGUGUUUAGGUCGUUCCGCGGAGGUUCUGCUCCACCCUAAGUCCAUCAAUGAGUACGGUAUUAUGGACAUGGCCCAUAGAGGGUGAAAGGCCCGUGGGGGUGGAGAUUCGGUAGGCCAGAACUUCCCUGGGUAGACCUUGGAGUCGGGUUGUUUGUGAAUGCAGCCCAAAGUGGGUGGUAAACUCCAUCCAAGGCUAAAUACUUGCACGAGUCCGAUAGCGAACAAGUACCGUGAGGGAAAGUUGAAAAGUACUUUGAAGAGAGAGUAAACAGUGCGUGAAACCGCUCAGAGGUAAACGGGUGGAGUUGAACUGCAAGCUCUGGGAAUUCAACUGGUGAGUGUGGUUUGAGCUUGGUCAUAUUGGUGGACGUCGGGGUCUGCGUAGAAGCAGGUCUUCGCCUUCGGGUGGGGAUGCGCGAUGCACUUAUCAAGUGUUGUGCGCCUCGGUUGUUCCCGGCCAACUCGCUAGUGCACUUUCUCAGAGUGGUCACCACGACCGGCGCCGCUGUUUGGCCACUGUGGUUAAACCGAGUUUGCAUAGUCCGAGUGGCUUUGUAAGGUCGGGAUGGCAGGUAGCUCGCUGACUCUCUUGUGGUUUCGCCAUAAGUGUUGUCUUCAAGUCUAAUCCGCUGACCGUAGUGGUUUCUGUGCAGUGUGUCGGGGACGGCGGCUCGAGGUGUGUGCAUGCGUUGCUGCUUUGUUGACUGGUCCGAGUUUGGUUAUUUUGUAGCCUGUUCAAUCAGGUCUGGUAGUAGCUCGGAUUUGUUCGGCUGGCGGUGGCGUGUGUGGCAUUGUUCCAAGGGCCAACAGUCUGUGGUGUAGUGGU
rnacentral:rRNA from 1 species